UUGCGCUCAGUUUCUCAGCCAGCGGUCCUGCUUGCAAUGUCAGUGUGCCACAGCAGUCUGUCUAAUGGUGCUCUUUGUUCUGGAAGGACGCAAGCAUUGCUGAGGAGCCAUUUGACCUGCCGCCACACUAAUAUUAUAUUUGGCAAAGCCGAAGGCCUCUGCAAGCAGCCAGUCAUUCCAAGUCUCAACCAAUCCUUCCUCUAGUCA